UCGACGUUGAUGAUAAAAUUUGCUGCAGAAAAUUUUGAUGACUUCUAUAACGAGCUUUUUAAUACUGAAUGAC